GCGGGUGUAGUACAGUGGUAGUACGCGACCUUGCCAAGGUCAAGACGAGGGUUCGAUUCCCUUCACCCGCU
rnacentral:tRNA from 1 species